UAGAAGAUGGCGACCGGCGCACGGGUGAGUAACACGUAUCCAACCUGCCCUUUACUCGGGGAUAGCCUUUCGAAAGAAAGAUUAAUACCCGAUAGCAUAAUGAUUCCGCAUGGUUUCAUUAUUAAAGGAUUCCGGUAAAGGAUGGGGAUGCGUUCCAUUAGAUAGUAGGCGGGGUAACGGCCCACCUAGUCUUCGAUGGAUAGGGGUUCUGAGAGGAAGGUCCCCCACAUUGGAACUGAGACACGGUCCAA
rnacentral:rRNA from 1 species